rnacentral:lncRNA from 1 species
GGCCGAAGUCUUGCGGAAGGGCGGCGGAAGCUGGCCGAGGUCGUGGUGCUUCCGCUUCAAGCGUUUGGAGCGGAAAGUCGCAGAAUCUGGUAGAUACAGAUUUUUUACAAUCUGGAUUAGCCAUAUUUUAAUGCUCAAUAGUCACAUGUGGAUAGUGCCCACCGUUUUGGAGAGUGCAGUUCUGGCGGUUGCCCACCACCUCGGACUACACAGUUGAGAAGCACAGCGCUGCUGAGCAGGAUUCUGUCACUGCAGUCAGCAUCAGCGGCUGGCAACCGGAAAUCUUCCAGACCAGUCACAGAGCCAGGACCAGGAGGAAUGGCGCCUCACAUGGCAUCUCCAAGGGCCGAGGGCCCCACGAAUUUUUAGACCCUGUUUAUUCAGGAGUGGAGAGCAUUUUCUAAAAUAUUUUAAACAAUUCAUCUAUCUUGAAUUCUUUUGAGAACCCAACUCUAGAAUUCAUCAUGAUAAUAAGCUGUUAUUUUUGCCAAUAAAAACCCAUUUCUGUCACUCAUGCUAAUUAGCAAAACAUCUGGUGUUGUCAGAGAUCAAGGUGCCUAAAGUAUCUGUAGCUCCAUUUUUGGAAUGUGGCCUUUCUGGUAUGACACUAGCUAACUACCCUGGGAAUGUGGAUUCAUGAUUAUUAGAAUACUAGUAAUAAAUAAAUAAAACAAGGUAAUGUGAUAAUUAUAGCAGCUAACAUGUUGAGUACUUACUAUGUGUUAGAUACUUCAUAUGUGUUAAUUCAUUUAAGCCAUAUAUCAACCCCAUUUUGCACAUGAGGAAAGUGAUGCACAGACAGGUUAGGUAAGUUGACCAGUCAUACAGCUGGUAAUACCAUGGAGUAGUUUGCCUACAGAUUUCGUGUUCUUAACCACAGUACCAUUCUGCCACCCUAAUGUAACAGAGAGCAACAGCUUAAGGGAGAAGACAGGAGAGGAAAGGGAGUUAGAUGGACCCUCAGAGAGGGCCUCUUUAGAAAGGUGAUAUUUGAUCUGACCUCUGAAUGACAAGAAGGAGUCAGUUAUGGGGAGAUCUAUGGGCAAACCUUUCCUGGCACAGGGAACAGCAACUGUAAAGACCUCAAGGCAGGAACUAGCUUGGCAUGUUUAAGGAAGAGGAAGAGGCCAGUGUGGCUCCAGUAUAGUAAGUGAAGGAGAGAGUGGUUCAGGAGAGGUCACCGAGAGAGUGGCUGGGGCUUGAAGGUCACGUGAAGGCAUUUGGAAGCCACUGAGCAUUUUAGGGAAGAGAGUAGCAUCUAGUCUAGUGUUUUAGAAACUCACCCUGGCUAUUAUGUGGAGAAUGGAUCCUAAAGAGGGGAGACAAGUUAGGAGACAUUAGCAAUAGUUUAUGCAGGGAAUAAUUGUGACUUGCGCUAUGGGCGAAGGAGUAGAGGUGGAGUUAAGUGGCCAGAAAUAUAUUUUGAGGUAGAGUGCUAGGGACUGAACUGAGUCCCAUCCCCGGACCCCAACUGCCCUUGCCAGAUUCACAUA